rnacentral:rRNA from 1 species
UGCCAGCCGCCGCGGUAACACGUAGGUGGCAAGCGUUAUCCGGAAUUACUGGGCGUAAAGGGCACGCAGGCGGUUAAGCAAGUUCGGCGUGAAAGCUCCCGGCUUAACUGGGAGAGGUCGUCGGAAACUGCUUGACUUGAGGUAGUGAGAGGGGUGCGGAAUUCCCGGUGUAGUGGUGGAAUGCGUAGAGAUCGGGAGGAACACCAGUGGCGAAAGCGGCACCCUGGCAUUGACCUGACGCUCAUGUGCGAAAGCGUGGGUAGCGAACGGGAUUAGAUA